rnacentral:misc_RNA from 1 species
GCUGAAGAACGUAGUGAAAUGCGAUAAGUAGUGUGAAUUGCAGAAUUUAGUGAAUCAUCGAAUCUUUGAACGCACAUUGCGCCCUUUGGUAUUCCUUAGGGCAUGCCUGUUCGAGCGUCAUCUACACCCUCAAGCACAGCUUGGUGAUGGGCGCCUGUCCCGCCCCCCACGGGGGCGCGGACUCGCCUCAAAUGCAUUGGCGGCCGGCGACCUGGCUUCUAGCGCAGCAGAAACGCGUACUCGGGGACCGGGCGCCCGCUCCCAGAAGCCAACCCACCCAGUUUGACCUCGGAUCAGGUAGGGAUACCCGCUGAACUUAAGCAUAUCAAUAAGCGGAGGA